AGCGGCGGACGGGUGAGUAACACGCGGGUAACCUGCCCCAGAGACUGGGAUAACACCUGGAAACAGAUGCUAAUACCGGAUAACAACACUAGACGCAUGUCUAGAGUUUGAAAGAUGGUUCUGCUAUCACUCUUGGAUGGACCUGCGGUGCAUUAGCUAGUUGGUAAGGUAACGGCUUACCAAGGCAAUGAUGCAUAGCCGAGUUGAGAGACUGAUCGGCCACAUUGGGACUGAGACACGGCCCAAACUCCUACGGGAGGCAGCAGUAGGGAAUCUUCCACAAUGGACGAAAGUCUGAUGGAGCAACGCCGCGUGAGUGAAGAAGGGUUUCGGCUCGUAAAGCUCUGUUGGUAGUGAAGAAAGAUAGAGGUAGUAACUGGCCUUUAUUUGACGGUAAUUACUUAGAAAGUCACGGCUAACUACGUGCCAGCAGCCGCGGUAAUACGUAGGUGGCAAGCGUUGUCCGGAUUUAUUGGGCGUAAAGCGAGUGCAGGCGGUUCAAUAAGUCUGAUGUGAAAGCCUUCGGCUCAACCGGAGAAUUGCAUCAGAAACUGUUGAACUUGAGUGCAGAAGAGGAGAGUGGAACUCCAUGUGUAGCGGUGGAAUGCGUAGAUAUAUGGAAGAACACCAGUGGCGAAGGCGGCUCUCUGGUCUGCAACUGACGCUGAGGCUCGAAAGCAUGGGUAGCGAACAGGAUUAGAUACCCGGGUAGUCCAUGCCGUAAACGAUGAGUGCUAAGUGU
rnacentral:rRNA from 1 species